GCAUCGCCAAAAUUGACAUACUUUCUAGUUUGCACGAUGGAUUUCAUUUUUGUGCCAAACCAACAUGUCUAACACAGCUUUGGUGACCAACCUAGCCAUCCUGUUUAGUUGCACCUCAAACCAAGCCUUCUAGCUUGUCGUGCAUUUGCUCGAACAUUUGGCGUGCGUGCUGUGCGCGAGCAGAGCGCGCGUAUUGCAGCCACACAACUCGAGCCACCGCGUCCACCUACCCCGCCCCUUUGGCCCUUGCUCGCCCGAAGAGUCGCGUACUAUCUCUUCCCUCUCGCGAGAGCCACGCGGCCGUCCUCAGGAGCCCUGCAGCACCACCGUCAGAGCAACCUUGGUGGCUUGCCGUCGGCCGCACCUGGCCACUGCCAUGGCAGCACCGCCCGAGCCACCCGAGCGCGCCACCUAGCCCCAGUAUGACUCCCUUGCUCGUCUGCUAGCUUGUGGUCCUCGCUAGCCGACCGCCACAUCACCCCCCUGCAACAGUUCGUUGGAGUUAUCCGUAGCAGCCGGGAACCGACCUCGCCUGCAUAUAUAAAGGACCCUCGAGCUCUCCCUGAACCACAGUAGGCCCUCUUCGACCCCUCUCGAGCUCCCCUAGCAACCAAUCGACUCGGGCAUGCCAUCUUCCUCACCUCGGGUCAAAGUUCGGUCGCCGCCUCCCUCGUUAAAUUCGAGGCCAACAGGGUUGACCCUGCUCCGUUCUCCCCUUUUGUUGAACCGCCCUGACAUCGCGAGCCCAUUCCCCCUCUCAAUUCCACUCGAGAAGAGUUGUGGGCAAAGGUACCAUGCGGACCAGCGCCGCCGUCCACCGGCCUCGUAGACGCCAGAGCCUCCCGGCUCUCCUACGACCAAAUCCCCAUCUCCGCGGAUCGCCUUGGGACCCCGAGCACAUUGGUGCUCCCAGAAUCGGGAGUAAUGGCCCCAAUCGCCCGCGAGCAUCGCCAGAGGACUCUCCUCCUCUCGGUUGGAGGAGGGAGAUGACCAGUUUGACGAGGGUCAAACCUGUCCAGCGGUCCCCACACGUUAGUAACAGAGCCGAGCGAGAGCCGCCUUAAGUGAAGGCAUAUUCGCGCAAGUACAUGGUCCUUUUUGUGAAAGCGUAAUCCGAGCCAAAUCGUUUUCUUUGAUGAUUUAUUCAAAAACAGAACUUUGACCAAUCUUUGGCUGGCUCUAAUUUGUAAAAUAAGACUCCAAAUGAUUCGGUUCAUUUUCCUACCUUUCUCAAAUUUCACCUAGUUUAUUUUAGGAUUUAUUUCAAAAUUUUCUAAGACAACUUUUUGUAUUGUUUUUAAAUUAUGUGUUAAUUAGAAUAUUUUCAAAAAUAGGAUAUGGAGAGAGAGAUAAAAACUUCCAGAAAGUUUUGAUGUGCACCUCAUCCCUCUACACCUUAAAGGAAAACAUUCUGAACUUGGAUUUAUUAUUGUUGUGUGUGAUAUGUUGAAGGAAACAUUAUGGUUUUGUUAAUAUAAGUGAUGGUAUUUCAUGUGGUGAUAUGAUCAUGCACAUGAGUACAUGGUGAAAAAUUAAUUCUGUUGCAUAUUGAGAUGCAUGUGCUAGUAGUCACUCCCUUCUGCCACACAUGCCUACCGGAUGGGAUCCGAGAAGAGUGGGUGUCUCGAAAAGACAUGACCUUGGGGACUGACAUCUCGUAGGACGAGCAUGGUCACUGAGGCAUAUUGGGGUAUGAAAGAUUGCGUGUUUGGAGAGGAGCGUCCCGACGACAGCCCGGAACCUAGGCGCCAAAGACAGCAGCCAUGUGAGAUAGGAAUUAUCCAGGUGAUCUAUUCCUGUGGGAAAUGGAGUCCCAUAGACGCUGGAGAUCCCCUAACUGCUUCCGCCAUCAAUGAGUAGAAACCUUUUUGAUGUACUCCACAUGCCAUCUUGGUCUUGUACUUCAAAUUUGUAAUUUGCUUGGACAUUUGUAUCAAGGAUUUGUGUACCAGCUAACAAUAUUCCUAGGGCUGGUAUGCACAAGGGUCAUUUUGAUGGGAAUUAAAAUCCCAGAAAAAUCGGCCCUGACAAUAUCGUAUCAAAAAUUUCGGUCGUUGCCGCUCAAA